CCAGGCACAAGUUUGCACACUGACAGGUCUCUAAGCCUAGCAGAAAACAGAAAAGUUUCACUCACCUGCGUCUUUUUCCACCUCUGCCGAUUGGGACCCAAGGGAAGUAUCGGAAAAGGGUGGAUUGAGAGACCCUCCUUUCUUUUCUUUUCGCCUUUCCAAAGAGUGGAAAUUUCCAUCAUGUGAUAGGGGGCAGCAUCCCCAGUGUCGCGUUUCCUGCGGACCCUCCCUUCCAGCCCAGCCACCAAUCGUCAGGCGGCAACCUGAGAUGUAAACAAAAGCAUCCUCCCAGGUGGGCUGACUUGUCCAGCUGUCCUGCCAGAGUGAAGCCUGGGAGCCGCCAGCCCCUGCUCCCUCUUUUCUGGGUCCCUGAAACAGAGAAGAUCUUGGUGGCAGUGCUUUUCCAGUUCCUUCUCUGAUGAGCCUCUGAGCAAAGCAGGUCUGGGCCCUUCUCUUUUGUGGCAAUUCUACCUGGUCAGCCCUCAACAGCACCCGCCUCCCCAGGACUACGUAGGUAACGUUAAAUUCUGAAGAGUGAGGCACAUCUCAGAAGGUGAUUCCAAAGUGGAAGUUUGAAGGUUGAAAUCACGACUAAUUCGACUGUAGAGAGGAAGGCUCUGACGCAGAGCCUCCUGAACGCUACCUUCACUUGCAAUAUUCCUCCCCUCUGGACUCUGCUUACCCACAGGUAGCCCUCCAUUCAAGUCUGGUGACCCCAUCUCCUCCCUCAGAAAACCCAGUCCUGUCCAUAGCUACUCAUCUUCUGAUUUAAUUACACUUACUGGGUUCCCCCUUAAAGCUGGGUGCCAGAAACAGAACAAACAUGAUCCCUAUCCUCAUGGAGUGUAUAAUUUGGGGAGAGAAGCUAUUUUAAUCAAAGUGUGAUACAAAUAUACGUAAAAUGACAAAGACUACAAUGAAGGAAGGAUGCACUGGGCCCACAGAAAGACUUGCCUGAGGAAAUGACUCUUGAGGAUGAGUUUGAGGAAAGUUUUUGUUUCUUAAGACAGUAGUGACUUUAGCAUUUUCAUGCCCAUGGGAAGGCCAGGCCAGUGUUUGAGCUGGUGCUCCUGAGACGGUGGAGGGGCAGAGCCAUCUCAAGUAGCAAGAAGGACUUCUCUCCAAGGCAGACAUGCUCUGAUCUCCCAAAUAAG
rnacentral:lncRNA from 1 species